AUUGAACGCUGGCGGCAGGCCUAACACAUGCAAGUCGAGCGGAUGAAGGGAGCUUGCUCCUGGAUUCAGCGGCGGACGGGUGAGUAAUGCCUAGGAAUCUGCCUGGUAGUGGGGGAUAACGUCCGGAAACGGGCGCUAAUACCGCAUACGUCCUGAGGGAGAAAGUGGGGGAUCUUCGGACCUCACGCUAUCAGAUGAGCCUAGGUCGGAUUAGCUAGUUGGUGGGGUAAAGGCCUACCAAGGCGACGAUCCGUAACUGGUUUGAGAGGAUGAUCAGUCACACUGGAACUGAGACACGGUCCAGACUCCUACGGGAGGCAGCAGUGGGGAAUAUUGGACAAUGGGCGCAAGCCUGAUCCAGCCAUGCCGCGUGUGUGAAGAAGGUCUUCGGAUUGUAAAGCACUUUAAGUUGGGAGGAAGGGCAGUAAGUUAAUACCUUGCUGUUUUGACGUUACCAACAGAAUAAGCACCGGCUAACUUCGUG
rnacentral:rRNA from 1 species